rnacentral:rRNA from 1 species
UACGUAGGGUGCGAGCGUUGUUCGGAAUUACUGGGCGUAAAGCGCACGUAGGCGGCUUUGUAAGUUAGAGGUGAAAGCCCAGGGCUUAACCCUGGAAUUGCCUUUAAGACUGCAUCGCUCGAAUUGUGGAGAGGUGAGUGGAAUUCCGAGUGUAGAGGUGAAAUUCGUAGAUAUUCGGAAGAACACCAGUGGCGAAGGCGACUCACUGGACACAUAUUGACGCUGAGGUGCGAAAGCGUGGGGAGCAAACAGGG